GACCUCGGAACGUCACGAGCUGUGAAUCCAGUAUUUUCUAGACCUGUUUCAUUUUCAGCGCUCCGGACAGUGGAGCGUGUUCAGGCUGAGCUCAGCAAAAGCAGUAUUGAAAGCAGCUUCGUCUGAGUCUGCGUCCUUGACGCUAUCUUCACUUGGAAAUGAAUCUCCACCACUGGAGGAAUGGCAGCUAAAGUCAGCCACUCCUGACUCCUGGUCGCUGUUGUCGGGCCAUCAAGCAGUCCAGCACAGACUGACGUGGGUGCAACCCUCUGUCAAAAUGAUUAUACAAACCCCUCCAGAACCUGAAUACAACACAGAAGAAAAACAGAAUGUGCCAACAUUAAAAGUGUACUUGCACUGUAAUAUGUUCGACAGAAAAUGAAAAAUAUUACAGCCUUGUAGAACUAAGAGGUGAGGCCAUAAGGAGUGAGUCCUCUCUCUGAUGCUGGAGAAGAAACAAAGCACAGGGAAACUGCUCCAUAAGCUGCCACACACACUCCAGGAACUGGUCUAUAACUGGUGACACCUCCUUGGGGUCUUCAUCUAGAUGACUGUAUCUAAAUAUAGAGAAAAGCCAUAAGAUCACACAGAUAGGUUCCCUCAAAAACAUAAACAAUCAAGACUGGAAACUUUUUUUUAAAUUUAUUUUUACAAUGGUGGGCAUCAUAUGUCUAAUGGGUUACACUUUACAGUAACUACAUGUACACUGCAUAUUCAUAAACAGUACAGUAACACUCCAUGACAACUAGAUAAUCAUUUUGAAGGCCCACAUUUUGAACGAGCAUAUUAUGUAAUGAACUGAAAACACGCUCAAUGAUAUUUACUACACACUUCAUAAUAUGAACGUGAAUACAUUAAAAUACAUGUUCCUUCUUUUCAAGGAAAAAAUACAGUUCUGAGCUCAUGAUGUCUAUAUUGUGUUCUUAUUGCUCCCUUUAUACUGUUUAAAAAGAUUUCAUGACUGAUACAAAAAGGUGCAAAUGAAUGACAUUUCAAAUCCUUAUACAUUCCAUGAAUCUGUGCAUAAGUUUCAUAAGAUAUUCUUAUCAUAGAUCAUUUUAGAUAUGUGAUGUGCAUUAUACAGUAGUAAACAGGAACAAUUAUAUACGAUGGGUUUCAUUUCAUGACGAGUCUCAGAUUUAGUUGAUUUUCUAAGCUAAAAUAAGUGAAUACAUCCUCUACAGAAAACAAAUUUUAAUGCAUAACUACUGUUUACUUGCUGAAUUUAACAUG